rnacentral:rRNA from 1 species
GAUUAAGCUAAUAAGAGCAUACAGGUGGAUGCCUUGGCACCAAGCGCCGAAGAAGGACGUGAUAAGCUGCGAAAAGCCGCGGGGAGCUGCAAAUGAGCGAAGAUCCGCGG